rnacentral:rRNA from 1 species
AUUGAACGCUGGCGGCAGGCCUAACACAUGCAAGUCGAACGAGUGGCGGACGGGUGAGGAAUGUCUGGGAAACUGCCCGAUGGCGGUGGAUAAGUACUGGAAACGGUAGCUAAUACCGCAUACCAUCGGAUGUGCCCAGAUGGGAUUAGCUGGUGGGUGGGUUAAAGGCUCACCUAGGAGACGAUCCCUAGCUGGUCUGAGAGGAUGAAGGGCCACACUGGAACUGAGACACGGUCCAGACUCCUACGGGAGGCAGCAGUGGGGAAUAUUGCACAAUGGGCGCAAGCCGGAUGCAGCCAUGCCGCGUGUAUGAAGAAGGCCUUCGGGUUGUAAAGUACUUUCAGCGGGGAGGCGUUACCCGCAGAAGAAGCACCGGCUAACUCCGUGCCAGCCGCCGCGGUAAUUC